rnacentral:rRNA from 1 species
UGUAAGCGUAUACCAAAGUUGUUGCAGUUAAAACGCUCGUAGUCGGAAUUUGGCAGUUCCGGAUGUGUGCACGUCGUGUGCGCACUUCGCGGGGAUUGCUUUUGUGGUCUUGCGUAGGAUGAGGCACUUUUAUUAGUGAACGUCCUCACGCAACCACUUUUUACUGUGAGAAAAUCAGAGUGCUCAAAGCAGGCAUUUGCCGUGAAUGUAUUAGCAUGGAAUAAUAGAAUAGGACUUGGUUCUAUUUUGUUGGUUUGUUGGGACUGAGUAAUGAUUAAGAGGGAAAGUUGGGGGCAUUUGUAUUUCGGUGCUAGAGGUGAAAUUCUUAGAUUACCGAAAGACAAACUGCUGCGAAAGCGUCUGCCAAGGAUGUUUUCAUUGA